AAAUUGAAGAGUUUGAUCAUGGCUCAGAUUGAACGCUGGCGGCAGGCCUAACACAUGCAAGUCGAACGGUAACAGGAAGCAGCUUGCUGCUUUGCUGACGAGUGGCGGACGGGUGAGUAAUGUCUGGGAAACUGCCUGAUGGAGGGGGAUAACUACUGGAAACGGUGGCUAAUACCGCAUAACGUCGCAAGACCAAAGAGGGGGACCUUCGGGCCUCUUGCCAUCAGAUGUGCCCAGAUGGGAUUAGCUUGUUGGUGAGGUAACGGCUCACCAAGGCGACGAUCCCUAGCUGGUCUGAGAGGAUGACCAGCCACACUGGAACUGAGACACGGUCCAGACUCCUACGGGAGGCAGCAGUGGGGAAUAUUGCACAAUGGGCGCAAGCCUGAUGCAGCCAUGCCGCGUGUAUGAAGAAGGCCUUCGGGUUGUAAAGUACUUUCAGCGGGGAGGAAGGUGUUGUGGUUAAUAACCGCAGCAAUUGACGUUACCCGCAGAAGAAGCACCGGCUAACUCCGUGCCAGCAGCCGCGGUAAUACGGAGGGUGCAAGCGUUAAUCGGAAUUACUGGGCGUAAAGCGCACGCAGGCGGUCUGUCAAGUCGGAUGUGAAAUCCCCGGGCUCAACCUGGGAACUGCAUUCGAAACUGGCAGGCUUGAGUCUUGUAGAGGGGGGUAGAAUUCCAGGUGUAGCGGUGAAAUGCGUAGAGAUCUGGAGGAAUACCGGUGGCGAAGGCGGCCCCCUGGACAAAGACUGACGCUCAGGUGCGAAAGCGUGGGGAGCAAACAGGAUUAGAUACCCUGGUAGUCCACGCCGUAAACGAUGUCUACUUGGAGGCUGUGCCCUUGAGGCGUGGCUUCCGGAGCUAACGCGUUAAGUAGACCGCCUGGGGAGUACGGCCGCAAGGUUAAAACUCAAAUGAAUUGACGGGGGCCCGCACAAGCGGUGGAGCAUGUGGUUUAAUUCGAUGCAACGCGAAGAACCUUACCUGGUCUUGACAUCCACAGAAGUUUGCAGAGAUGCGAAUGUGCCUUCGGGAACUGUGAGACAGGUGCUGCAUGGCUGUCGUCAGCUCGUGUUGUGAAAUGUUGGGUUAAGUCCCGCAACGAGCGCAACCCUUAUCCUUUGUUGCCAGCG
rnacentral:rRNA from 1 species